ensembl:lncRNA novel transcript, sense intronic METTL4
UUUAUUUUUUUGUAGAGAUAAGGUCUUAACUAUGUUGCCCAGGCUGGUCUUGAACUCCUGGGCUCAAGCAGUCCUCCUGCCUUGGCCUCCCAAAGUGCUGGGAAUACAGACAAGAGCCACUGUAUGCAGCCCCUGCCCCCCUUUUUUUUAAUCAUAGCCAUUUUGACGGAUAUAAAGUGGUAUCUUAUUGUGGUUUUCGUAAACACAUUGGGUUUUAAAUGUUCUGAAGACAGCUGAAUACACAAAUGUUAAAUCCCUCAAUGUGAGCAGUUUAUCUGUUAAUUUUGGAAAUACACUUAUUUUCUGGAAAUGACACUUGCAAGGUUAACUGCAGAAAUACCAGGAAAAUCCAGGGUAUUUAUAUCUAUAAAAAAAUUAAUAAGAUUUACUUUCACUUUAAAGUUUACAUGAAAUUAGAGAAUAGAAUUUCUUGAAUUCAUGUAUAUUCUAAUUGCUAAAUACUUGUAUUAAUCAUAAAUACAAAUUAUGAAAUGUGCUGCAGAAUGGAAUCAAACUCUUAAAAAGUAGUAGGACAGAAUAUUUGCUGAAUCAGAUUUAGAGGUUUGACUAUCCGGUAGUGCCAGUCCUGCCCAUCCCCAUCCUUUUCUCAUCACUCCUCUUUUUAAUAAAUUUGUUUUCUUUCCCCAUAUAAAUUUUAGGAUCAAUGAUAACAUCUAGUUAGAAAACCUGUUGCCAUUUUUAUGGCAUCAAGUUAAAUUUCUAAAUUAAAUUAGGGCAGUGUUGACAUCUUUAAGAUGUUGGUGAUUCCGCCCCAAAACAUGAAUGUAUUUUUCCAUUUGCUCACGUUUUGUUUUGUCGUUGUGUAAAAUUUUCUUUAUAAAGGCCUUGCAGGUUUCUUGUUAAGUUGUAGUAAUUUUUUGUUGUUGUAUCUCUUGGAUUUUCCAGAUAUAGAACUCUUUCAAAUAGUAGUAAUUUUACUUAUACCUUUCCAAUUAUCAUGUUUCUGAUUUCUUCUCUAAUUCUGUAGGGUGGAAAUUAUAAUACAAUAUUAAAGAAUAUUUGUGUGCAUAAUAAACAUAAGUAAUAUA